UGACGCUGUGCUCGAGGGAGGUGUUGUUGUUGGUCCACAGGGUGGAUAGGUUAGCCGUCGGGUAGUCGAAAGGCUGCCCGGUGAUCAACGGAGUUGCAGUUGCAAGCAGGAGGAAGAGGAGGAGAUUGGAAGGAGCCAUGGCACAGCUGCUAUAAUUGAAAGGAAAAUGGAGGAAGGUAAGAGUGAGUUGUUAUCUUGACGUGAUGCCAGAAGAAGCUGGGGGCUGGGUGUUGCAGAGAUGAGCUUACAGCGAAGAACUCAUCUGACCACGGGCACCAUGGGGCGGCUGUGACCGCCGGAAUCGCCGCUGGCAAGUGCCUGGGCCGGCCGCUGGGGCUAGCAGUCAACCAGUCUCCGUCUUCCUCUGCCUCUUCUC
rnacentral:lncRNA from 1 species